ensembl:snRNA U6 U6 spliceosomal RNA
GUGUGCCCUUCAGCAGCAUGUAUACAAAAAUUGCAACGAUACAGAGAUUAGCAUGGCCCCUGCACAAGGAUGACUCGCAAAUUCAUAAAGCUUUCCAUAAAUAU